rnacentral:rRNA from 1 species
UACGGAGGGGACUAGCGUUGUUCGGAAUUACUGGGCGUAAAGCGCACGUAGGCGGAUUUGUAAGUCAGUGGUGAAAUCCCGGGGCUCAACCUCGGAACUGCCUUUGAUACUGCAAAUCUCGAGUCCGGAAGAGGUGAGUGGAAUUCCUAGUGUAGAGGUGAAAUUCGUAGAUAUUAGGAAGAACACCAGUGGCGAAGGCGGCUCACUGGUCCGGUACUGACGCUGAGGUGCGAAAGCGUGGGGAGCAAACAGG